GCGCGUGCGCGAGGGCCGUGGGCGUGGGCGUGGCGCGCGAGGGCUGUCGGGACAGUAGUCACGAGGGAGCCGGGGGGUGGGGCAGGGGCGGGGCCUCCAAGUUGACUGUGUUUUGCUUUGAGUCCCAACCUGGAAAAAGAGGUUCUUCAGCUUUUGGCUCCUACUUUUACAUCUGGGUAGCGCAAAGGAUUGAAAGCAGAUUGCAUUUUCUAAGAGUUCCUGUGCCCUCCAUGCUUUGAAAAUACAAGUUAAUUUAAUGCGUGAUUGCCAGGUGUAAGGAAACAGGUCAAGGUUACCUGCGGUCACAUGGUCCAGAACUGGCACUCAGGCUUUGAACCUCUCUACUUUGCUUCUCAUCUUCUCUAUGACCUCGCUGAAGAGCGCGCAGACCUGGUUUGCCCUGUAGCAGGUCCUGAUGGGAUACCUACCUAAACCACUAAAGGCAUUCCGUGACUCCUUGAUACAUGUCAGCCUUCUAAAUUAUGAGUUGUUCCCUGAACUCCACAACCCUACUUGUCUCAUAUGGAUUUAUCUGGAAUCAUACCACUCCUGUCAUCACAACUCAAAUUCAAACUUAUUUCACUCCUAGGUUCUCAAAUAACCAAGGGACUCGUCUUCACCCCCCUUUUAACCAACUGUCUCCCUCCUUGCACCCAGUUCGCAUCCCCCUUCCCUGUUUUCUGUAGGGCGGGCUUUAGUCUUAUAAAAGUGCAAAUACGAUUAAAAUCUUGCCAACCUGCCUUUUGCACCUACACUGGUUUACCCCCAUUUUCCACCAAUCUGCUCCUUAAAAUGCAAGGGUAUGUCCCUCCCCUCUCUGCAUCUACCCUAAGAGGGCUGGAAAUAUGUCUACGCAAAACUACAUGCAUGCUUAUAGUAAUCUUUGUUGGAACAACUCCCAAGAGGAAACAAUGCAAGUGUUCAUCCUCAGAGUUUUGCAAGUUCUGUCAUGACCAAACCUAUAAAAAAUAUUUCAGCCACAAAAGAUGAUGUGUUAUAAUAAUGCCACAUAUAUUAGAAGCCUUAGAAGCGCUAAGUUAUACAGACAGUAGAUUAGUGGCUGCUGGUAGCUACAGAGAGAUGGAGAAUUAGGGCUAGCUUCUCAUAGGGUUUGGUUCCCCGAGAAGCAAAAGUUUUUGGCAUUGAAAGUGUUGCUUGAACAACACAUCCAAUAUACAAAAGCUACUGACAACAAGUAACAGCAAUGACACCUCUGUAUGUUUCUAUUAAAAUACGUUUAAAAACAAACACAGAAGUAGGAAGAGAACAUUUGUCUGUGAAAGCACCUUACUUGUCUGUGUAUGUGCGUACACACUCUCUGAUGGUUUGUAUAUGCUCAGCCCAGAGAGUGGCACUAUUAGAAAGUGUGGCCCCAUUGGAGUAGGUGUGUCACUGUGGGUGUGGGCUAUAUGACCUUCACCAUAGCUGCCUGGAAAUCAGUCUUCCACUAGCAGCCUUCAGACGAAGAUGUAGAACUCUCAGCUCCUCCUGCACCAUGCCUACCUGGAUGCCAUCAUGCUCCCACCUUGAUGAUAAUGAACUGAACCUCUGAACCUUGUUCUAGAUGCAGACCCAAGAGCUGAAAGCAGGGCCUUGGGUAAACACAUGUACAUCUGGCUCACAGCAGGAUUUACAGGAACCCACAAGCCCUUCAAUGGCUGAAGGGUCCAUCAUAUGGAGUUGGUGGAAGGGCAUUCUGCUACAUACUGCCACAUGGACAUGACAAUGGUGUUUGUGAGUGGAUCGAGCUGCUGCUGCUGAUCUGUGAACUAAACUGCCGAUUUCCAGACAACACAGAUUUGAGCUGCUCCGAAGAACUUUCUAAACAGCUGCAUUUCUUUUCCACUACCUCUGGAGGGUGGUGGGAUAAAAGGGACGUUAAAGCAUUUAAGAACCAUCAUUAAAAAUAGGCAUUUAAAAAAUUAAA